rnacentral:rRNA from 1 species
GUGUCAGCAGCCGCGGUAAGACGAACCGUCCAAACGUUAUUCGGAAUCACUGGGCUUAAAGGGUGCGUAGGCGGUCCGGGAAGUUGGGUGUGAAAGCCCUCGGCUCAACCGAGGAAUUGCGUCCAAAACUGCCGGACUUGAGGGAGACAUAGGUGAGCGGAACUUAGGGUGGAGCGGUGAAAUGCGUUGAGAUCCUAAGGAACACCAGUAGCGAAAGCGGCUCACUGGGUCUCUUCUGACGCUGAUGCACGAAAGCUAGGGGAGCGAAGAGGAUUAGAUACCCUCGUAGUCCUAGCCGUAAACAAUGAGCACUGAUUUGGAGGCUCCUCCAUAGGCUUCCAGAUGUAGCGAAAGUGUUAAGUGCUCCGCCUGGGGAGUAUGGUCGCAAGGCUGAA